GGCGGACGGGUGAGUAACGCGUGAGAAUAUGCCCUUCUCUAAGGAAUAGCCUCUGGAAACGGAGAGUAAUACCUUAUACGCCCUUUGGGGGAAAGAUUUAUCGGAGAAGGAUUAGCCCGCGUUAGAUUAGGUAGUUGGUGGGGUAAUGGCCUACCAAGCCUACGAUCUAUAGCUGGUUUGAGAGGAUGAUCAGCCACACUGGGACUGAGACACGGCCCAGACUCCUACGGGAGGCAGCAGUAGGGAAUCUUAGACAAUGGGGGCAACCCUGAUCUAGCCAUGCCGCGUGUGUGAUGAAGGCCCUAGGGUCGUAAAGCACUUUCGCCAGAGAUGAUAAUGACAGUAUCUGGUAAAGAAACCCCGGCUAACUCCGUGCCAGCAGCCGCGGUAAUACGGAGGGGGUUAGCGUUGUUCGGAAUUACUGGGCGUAAAGCGCGCGUAGGCGGAUUAGAAAGUUGGGGGUGAAAUCCCGGGGCUCAACCUCGGAACUGCCUCCAAAACUGCUAGUCUAGAGUUCGAGAGAGGUGAGUGGAAUUCCGAGUGUAGAGGUGAAAUUCGUAGAUAUUCGGAGGAACACCAGUGGCGAAGGCGGCUCACUGGCUCGAUACUGACGCUGAGGUGCGAAAGUGUGGGGAGCAAACAGGAUUAGAUACCCUGGUAGUCCACACCGU
rnacentral:rRNA from 1 species